CCCACUUCGACAAGGGAGCCGGCGACGUGAGGGCGCUCAUCGCCGCGGAGGGGAAGAAAAAGCAAAAAAAACUGAAAGGGAGGAAAAAAAACAGCAGUUUGAUGUGUCCUAUUAUGUGUCCCAGCUAGAGCCAUAAAUAAUUGUGACAAGUUUUUUGUUGCGCGUGAAAGUCCUUGACUCUGCCUCCUGUUCCAGCGCCUCCUCUCUGGCGCUGAGAUGCUGCCAAACUCCCCCCACCCGCUCCCAGAUGAUAGAUGGCACGGCGAAGCAAAUGACAACGGGAUAGAUUUUUAGUUUGUGCUUUGGAAGGGAUCAGUAAUGGUGCUUUGCUGUACAAAGCAAUAAAUGGGAAGGACGAGUGAGGGAGAGGCAGAACGAGAGGAAGAGGAGAUGGAGGGGGGUAAAGAUUCAUUGCUGCAGUCUGAGAGGGUUGGAAAUGAUAAUCACUGACAUGAAACACCCAAGGAAGUGGAGAUGUUGCCUGCCAUGCCACUUUUCCUGUGCAGCUCAUCAGAACGUGUUUCUGUCGGAGCCACGGCUUAUCGGAUAGAGGAUGUCCUUUAAACAUUGAGCCAUGGGGCUCAAGUGGACGAUGCAUGUUUGAAUCUGUAACAAUUCCCUGCUUCUUUCUGUACUGUAUCUAUUAAAAAAAUAUUUAUAAAUAAAUUCCAUUUAUUAAUGGCA